GAACCUGCGGAAGGAUCAUUACCGAGUGAGGGCCCUCUGGGUCCAACCUCCCACCCGUGUCUAUCGUACCUUGUUGCUUCGGCGGGCCCGCCGUUUCGACGGCCGCCGGGGAGGCCUUGCGCCCCCGGGCCCGCGCCCGCCGAAGACCCCAACAUGAACGCUGUUCUGAAAGUAUGCAGUCUGAGUUGAUUAUCGUAAUCAGUUAAAACUUUCAACAACGGAUCUCUUGGUUCCGGCAUCGAUGAAGAACGCAGCGAAAUGCGAUAAGUAAUGUGAAUUGCAGAAUUCAGUGAAUCAUCGAGUCUUUGAACGCACAUUGCGCCCCCUGGUAUUCCGGGGGGCAUGCCUGUCCGAGCGUCAUUGCUGCCCUCAAGCACGGCUUGUGUGUUGGGCCCCCGUCCCCCUCUCCCGGGGGACGGGCCCGAAAGGCAGCGGCGGCACCGCGUCCGGUCCUCGAGCGUAUGGGGCUUUGUCACCUGCUCUGUAGGCCCGGCCGGCGCCAGCCGACACCCAACUUUAUUUUUCUAAGGUUGACCUCGGAUCAGGUAGGGAUACCCGCUGAACUUAAGCAUAUCAAUAAGCGGA
rnacentral:rRNA from 1 species